AUGGUGGGGCGCAACGAGGAGAAGGCGCGGCUGGCGCUGUCCGCCAUGAAGAAGCUGGGGUUCGGCCGGAAGCAGGCCACCCCCGUGCUCAAGCGCCUCUUCAGGCUCUUCGACCGGCAGUGGGAGCCCAUCGAGGAGGACUCGUACCGCGCCCUCGCCGAAGCCAUCCUCGACGACCAACUCCUUCAACUCCAUCCCCAAUCCCAACCACAGCCCAACGGCGGCGGCAAUGAGGUGCCGGGGCAGGAGGAGGAGGAGCUGGAUGCCGAGGAGCCGGAAAUCUCCACCCCCGACCGCCCUUCCACGACCCCCCCUUUCAGAGCCACACCGCAAAGCUCCAGCUCUUUCAGAGCCCCUGCUCCUCCAUCCGGACCCACCGCUUUCAGAGCCACAGGCACAGGCACAGGCACAGCAGGAGGCAUAGUGGAAAGGGGGCUUGUCUUGGCCCCUGCCCUCAACGAUGGCGCACAGACCACACCCUCAGCAACCGCACUGCUCACCAAGCACAAGCACAAGCACAUGAUGGAUGCAGAGUUUCAGCAGCCUGCCUUCUUCUUUCUCAAACACCCCAAGCCCGAACCCCCUGAACCUCAACCCGUCGACAUGGACGCGUCCGGCUGUCGGGAUGUGCAGCCUGGCUUGAUUCUCCGCUCCCGCAACCUCAACCUUGCUUCCUCCUCGUCCGACUUGAAUGCGUUGCCUCCGCCUGACCGAAAUCCUCACCACAUUUCAGGUAGUGAUAAAAACAGGGCAAUUCAACAUCACAGCAGAAAUACAGACAUGUCUGUGGAGCCAACAAGCAGCAGCACACUCAUCAAUGGAACAGGGUCUCAAGUGCAGGAGAUUGAUGUGGCGUCAUCCCCUGGGGGCGAGGUUAAGCUGUCUCUCAAGUGCAGCGCAGACCCAUCAAAGCUCAAAAUGCCUGAUCUAGAAGCAGUAUACAAGAUGGUUGAGGACAAAUACCUCUGCUCGGACAAGCUUCUUCCUCCCGAUUUCUCCAUUCCCGGCCUCAUGGCCGAGAUAUGCCAGAGCGUUGUGCAGAUGGGCACUCAACAUACCAUGACGGAGCAUAUUACACAAUCACAUACUGUUGGUAAUGGCAGCACGUCUAAAUGCGUGGAGGGUGGUUCAGCGAGUUCAACUCCUGCCCCGCAACCGCAUUUGGCACUUUCAAGGACUACCCAUGAUGUACAUGACAUAUCCAGGGGACAAGAAAAUGUCAAGAUACCGAUAGCAAAUGAAUCUGGCAGAGGAAAAUGCCCACCAUCGUUUUCUUACAUACCAGGCAACGAGGUAUUCCAAAAUGGUAUUGUGAACAUCUCCCUUGCACACAUUGGUGCUCAAGACUCUUGUGCUGAUUGCUUUGGCGACUGCUUGUCGGCGCCUGUACCAUGCGCUUGCGCAAGAGUCACCGGGGGUGAAUAUGCAUACACACCGGGCGGUUUGGUAAAGCCAGAAUUCAUUGACAAGUGCGUCUCCGUGAACCGGAUUCCUGAAGUACAUCACAAGGUCUUUUGCAAGACGUGCCCGCUCGAGAGGUCCAGAGAUAAAGCCUCACCAGAGCCUUGCAGGGGCCACCUUGUUCGGAGAUUCAUCAAGGAGUGCUGGAGCAAAUGCGGGUGCAGCAUGCGAUGCGGCAACCGUGUGGUCCAACGCGGCAUAAGAUGCAACCUCCAGGUGUUCUCCACGGGAAAUGGGAGGGGUUGGGGGCUGCGCACGCAGAAUGCAUUGCCAAAAGGAGCUUUCGUGUGCGAAUAUGCGGGGGAAAUACUAACAUGCGUAGAAGUACAUGGGCGGGCGGUCGAGAACAUGAAGAAUAAUAGAUAUACGCAUACGGUAGUGUUGGAUGCUGGCUGGUCUUCGGGAGGGUCGCUCAAGGACGAAGAUGCAUUGUGCCUAGAUGGAACCUUUUAUGGGAAUGUUGGCAGAUUCAUCAACCACAGAUGCCGUGAUGCAAAUCUGGCCAUGGUUCCUGUUCAAGUGGAGACUCCUGAUCGCCACUAUUACCAUGUUGCAUUCUUCACGAGCAGGAAGGUGGAGGCCCUUGAGGAACUGACAUGGGACUAUGGGAUUGAUUUCGACUUGGAGUUGGGGCCGGUGAAGGUGUUUGAGUGCCUGUGUGGAAGCAAGUACUGCCGAGGAAGUCGUCGGCAUCGUCAGCGCCUGAGGAAUGGGAAUGGGAAUGGCAAUGGGAGAAGCAGAAUUGAAGGUUAA
rnacentral:rRNA from 1 species